rnacentral:rRNA from 1 species
GACGAACGCUGGCGGCGUGCCUAAUACAUGCAAGUCGAACGCUGAAGGAGGAGCUUGCUUCUCUGGAUGAGUUGCGAACGGGUGAGUAACGCGUAGGUAACCUGCCUGGUAGCGGGGGAUAACUAUUGGAAACGAUAGCUAAUACCGCAUAAGAUUGACUAUUGCAUGAUAGUCAGUUAAAAGGUGCAAUUGCAUCACUACCAGAUGGACCUGCGUUGUAUUAGCUAGUUGGUGGGGUAACGGCUCACCAAGGCGACGAUACAUAGCCGACCUGAGAGGGUGGUCGGCCAAACUGGGACUGAGACACGGCCCAGACUCCUACGGGAGGCAGCAGUAGGGAAUCUUCGGCAAUGGACGGAAGUCUGACCGAGCAACGCCGCGUGAGUGAAGAAGGGUUUCGGGUCGUAAAGCUCUGUUGUAAGGGAAGAACGAGUGUGAGAGUGGAAAGUUCACACUGUGACGGUAGCUUACCAGAAAGGGACGGCUAACUACGUG